rnacentral:rRNA from 3 species
UACAACUUUCAGCAACGGAUCUCUUGGCUCUCGCAUCGAUGAAGAACGCAGCGAAAUGCGAUAAGUAAUGUGAAUUGCAGAAUUCAGUGAAUCAUCGAAUCUUUGAACGCACCUUGCGCUCCUUAGUAUUCUGAGGAGCAUGCCUGUUUGAGUGUCAUUAAAUUCUCAA